UUCUCCUCAUUAAGCUUGGUUCCAUAGAUCGUGAAAGACUUUUCCUCAUUGGGAGCGACUUUUCUCCAUUCCAUUUUCGACUCUGUGAAGGACUUUUCCUCAUUGCGUUUCUUACAGGAGACGUCAUUGGCAACUGGCUUUUCCUCUUUCUGCUUUAGACCGAAGAUCUGUUGACAGGUGGGCUUUUCCUCUUUUGUCUCGAGGGUUUUCUUAGUUUCAAGGAAGGAUUUUUCCUCAUUGGGAGCGACUUUUCUCCAUUCCAUUUUCGUCUCUGUGAAGGACUUUUCCUCAUUGCGUUUCUUAUAGGAGAUGUCAUUGUCAAUUGGCUUUUCCUCUUUCUGCUUCAGACCGAAGAUCUGUUGACAGGUGGGCUUCUCCUCAUUAAGCUUGGUUCCAUAGAUCGUGAUGGACUUUUCCUCAUUGGGAGCGACUUUUCUCCAUUCCAUUUUCGUCUCUGUGAAGGACUUUUCCUCAUUGCGUUUCUUAUAGGAGAUGUCAUUGUCAAUUGGCUUUUCCUCUUUCUGCUUUAGACCGAAGAUCUGUUGACAGGUGGGCUUCUCCUCAUUAAGCUUGGUUCCAUAGAUCGUGAAGGACUUUUCCUCAUUGGGAGCGACUUUUCUCCAUUCCAUUUUCGACUCUGUGAAGGACUUUUCCUCAUUGCGUUUCUUACAGGAGACGUCAUUGACAACUGGCUUUUCCUCUUUCUGCUUCAGACUGAAGAUCUGUUCACAGGUGGGCUUUUCCUCCUUUGUCUCGAGAGUUUUCGUAGUUUCAAGGAAGGACUUUUCCUCAUUGCGCUUCUUACAGGAGAUGUCAUUGACAACUGGCUUUUCCUCUUUCUGCUUCAGACCGAAGAUCUGUUCACAGGUGGGCUUUUCCUCUUUUGUCUCGAGGGUUUUCUUAGUUUCAAGGAAGGACUUUUCCUCAUUGCGCUUCUUAAAGGAGAUGUCAUUGAAGGGUUUCUCUUCAUUUAUCUUAGUCCCAAAGACAUUUCCUGUGAACGACUUUUCCUCAUUGCGUUUUUUGCAGGAGACGUCAAUGACAACUGGCUUUUCCUCUUUCUGCUUCAGACCGAAGAUCUGUUCACAGGUGGGCUUUUCCUCCUUUGUCUCGAGGGUUUUCUUAGUUUCAAGGAAGGACUUUUCCUCAUUGCGCUUCUUACAGGAGAUGUCAUUGACAACUGGCUUUUCCUCUUUCUGCUUCAGACCGAAGAUCUGUUCACAGGUGGGCUUUUCCUCCUUUGUCUCGAGGGUUUUCUUAGUUUCAAGGAAGGACUUUUCCUCAUUGCGCUUCUUACAGGAGAUGUCAUUGACAACUGGCUUUUCCUCUUUCUGCUUCAGACCGAAGAUCUGUUCACAGGUGGGCUUUUCCUCCUUUGUCUCGAGGGUUUUCUUAGUUUCUAAGAAGGACUUUUCCUCAUUACGCUUCUUACAGGAGAUAUCAACAACUGGCUUUUCCUCUUUUUGUUUAAGACCAAAAAUUUUGUCGGCGAUAGGCUUUUCUUCUUUCUGCUUCAGGCCGAAGGUGUUCUCUGCGAAAGAUUUCUCCUCAUUGCGCUUUUUGGAGAAAGCAUCACCGAUCUGAGGUUUCUCUUCUUUUUGCUUCAAACCGAAAACCUUUACAGCAAAGGGCUUUUCCUCAUUCAGCUUCGUCCCAAGAGUUUGAUUUGUAAACGCCGACUCUCCAAUCCGCUGUUCUAGCCUUUGUAAUUUGGAAUACUUUGCCAUUAACGUUGAACCAGUAGAUAGACAGCGGCACACGGGCUUAAUUGUGCGGAAACCAUUAUUCUUGGCAAUGGACAACAUCCCGAAUUUUGAAUAAAAACCAAAAUGCCGAUGUAAAUAAAAUUAAAUAAUUUUUUUUUCGGGGUUGAACCAAAA